AGCAGUGGGGAAUUUUGGACAAUGGGCGCAAGCCUGAUCCAGCAAUGCCGCGUGAGUGAAGAAGGCCUUCGGGUUGUAAAGCUCUUUUGUCAGGGAAGAAACGGUGAGAGCUAAUAUCUCUUGCUAAUGACGGUACCUGAAGAAUAAGCACCGGCUAACUACGUGCCAGCAGCCGCGGUAAUACGUAGGGUGCAAGCGUUAAUCGGAAUUACUGGGCGUAAAGCGUGCGCAGGCGGUUUUGUAAGUUUGUCGUGAAAGCCCCGGGCUCAACCUGGGAAUUGCGACGAAGACUGCAAGGCUUGAAUCUGGCAGAGGGGGGUAGAAUUCCACGUGUAGCAGUGAAAUGCGUAGAGAUGUGGAGGAACACCGAUGGCGAAGCAGCCCCCUGGGUCAAGAUUGACGCUCAUG
rnacentral:rRNA from 1 species